UACGGAGGGUGCAAGCGUUGUCCGGAAUCAUUGGGCGUAAAGAGUUCGUAGGCGGCAUGUAAAGUCAGGUGUUAAAGGCGCAGGCUCAACCUGUGUAUGGCACUUGAUACUUGCAAGCUGGAAUGCGGUAGAGGUAAAGGGAAUUCCUGGUGUAGCGGUGAAAUGCUUAGAUAUCAGGAGGAACAUCGGUGGCGUAAGCGCUUUACUGGGCCGUAAUUGACGCUGAGGAACGAAAGCCAGGGUAGCAAAUGGG
rnacentral:rRNA from 1 species